ACUCAGAAAAACUAAAAUGCACUGGCUUCAAUUUCGCCCCCUGAGUUAGCCUUCCAGUUUAUUUAUAGUUUAAUGGAACAACCUCGUUCCCAGGGCAUGAGUACUCAAACCCCAGUCACAGAGAUGAAAGACAUAUGUAAUACCAGGGUACCACUAACACACCUUCGCACAUUUUUGCUCUCCAUCUAGAAAUCUAGUACGGGGUCUGCGGACAUCAGUAGAAAAUGUGUUAACUCAGCAAGCUAAAGUGUUGGAGGAGAUUGGUAUAUACCCACAUGGGGUGAACACAGGGACAAUGUCCAGGACAUCCCGCAGUGGUUCUAUUAGUUCCUUGGUGUCCACGAUGUCCUCCGUCGGUGAUGGCGUAAGUGAA